rnacentral:rRNA from 1 species
GACGAACGCUGGCGGCGUGCCUAAUACAUGCAAGUCGAGCGGACUUGUAGGAGCUUGCUCCUGCAGGUUAGCGGCGGACGGGUGAGUAACACGUGGGCAACCUACCUGUAAGACUGGGAUAACUUCGGGAAACCGGAGCUAAUACCGGAUGACACUAAGGAACUCCUGUUCCUUAGUUGAAAGAUGGCUUCGGCUAUCACUUACAGAUCGGCCCGCGGCGCAUUAGCUAGUUGGUGAGGUAACGGCUCACCAAGGCGACGAUGCGUAGCCGACCUGAGAGGGUGAUCGGCCACACUGGGACUGAGACACGGCCCAGACUCCUACGGGAGGCAGCAGUAGGGAGUCUUCCGCAAUGGACGAAAGUCUGACGGAGCAACGCCGCGUGAGCGAUGAAGGCCUUCGGGUCGUAAAGCUCUGUUGUUAGGGAAGAACAAGUGCUAGUUAAAUAAGCUGGCACCUUGACGGUACCUAACCAGAAAGCCACGGCUAACUACGUGCCAGCCGCCGCGGUAAAAC